GCAUCAGUGGUGUAGCGGUAACAUUGGGUCUUCCCAUCCAGCACCUUCAGAUAAGAGAUAUGGCCUAGCUCCGGGUUCGACUCCCGGCUGAUGCA